GUGGGGAAUCUUGCGCAAUGGGCGAAAGCCUGACGCAGCCAUGCCGCGUGAAUGAUGAAGGUCUUAGGAUUGUAAAAUUCUUUCACCGGGGACGAUAAUGACGGUACCCGGAGAAGAAGCUCCGGCUAACUUCGUGCCAGCAGCCGCGGUAAUACGAAGGGGGCUAGCGUUGCUCGGAAUUACUGGGCGUAAAGGGCGCGUAGGCGGACAGUUUAGUCAGAGGUGAAAGCCCAGGGCUCAACCUUGGAAUUGCCUUUGAUACUGGCUGUCUUGAGUACGGGAGAGGUGAGUGGAACUCCGAGUGUAGAGGUGAAAUUCGUAGAUAUUCGGAAGAACACCAGUGGCGAAGGCGACUCACUGGCCCGUUACUGACGCUGAGGCGCGAAAGCGUGGGGAGCAAACAGGAUUAGAAACCCUUGUAGUCC
rnacentral:rRNA from 1 species